GCUAAUCAUUUUCACAAGGUCAGGGCUGAUGGCUGCUCUUCCAGUCUCAGAGGUGAGUCUGUGCUAAACCACCUGCCACCAGGUGUCUAACAGUCAGCUGAGAAUGCACAAUGCCAAUCCCUUGUGUCAUAAUGUCCCAUAUUGUCAUAACAAUAUGUCUAACAGUCAGCUGAGAAUGCACAAUGCCAAUCCGUUUCCACAGACGUGAGGUUUUGAAGCAGAUGGCAGGGAUGAGAAGGGAAGAGCCUGUGACUCUGGAGCAGGGGGGCGGGACUGGCUUACUGUGAGGUGGGACUUGUGCGUCUGCCCCCACCGUCUUCCCCCCAAGCUCAACCCCGAGGCAGUCACUUGCAGGACAAGGCUAGGCAUGUCGCCUGCACCAAGGGACCAGAGAAAGUCCUUUCAACAGGACAGAAGUGUUCGACCAUUUAGCAUUUCGACACUGGAAAGAUGAACUUUCAUGAAAUACUGCUGCCUGGGUGAUCGGUCUCUUUAGAGGCAGACCCAGCUGACCUUUCUGUUUACAUCACAUAUCACUACCUGGCAUGUGUCAGACAGAUAAUUUCUAUUCUGACCAAGACCCUGCAGUAGAAACUAUGAGAGAUACAAGGGUCAAUGAAGAAGAAUUGCUGCCUUCAAGAUGCAAUGAGUGCAGAAAAAGAGAACUGAACACACACACACACACACACACACACACACAAUAUCUUACGGGAACAACCCAGUGUGCGGGUGCCCAUUGUGGACACAAAGCAACAGUGCUUUAGAAUCACACUCCACAAUUUCAAUUUUUAAUGCCGAACCUCUAUCUAUUGCUGAUUAAAACCCUUUUGAAAGUGCAAGA
rnacentral:lncRNA from 12 species